UACGUAGGGUGCGAGCGUUGUCCGGAAUUAUUGGGCGUAAAGAGCUCGUAGGCGGUUUGUCGCGUCGGGAGUGAAAACACCGGGCUUAACUCGGUGCUUGCUUUCGAUACGGGCAGACUAGAGGCAUGCAGGGGAGAACGGAAUUCCUGGUGUAGCGGUGAAAUGCGCAGAUAUCAGGAGGAACACCGGUGGCGAAGGCGGUUCUCUGGGCAUGUCCUGACGCUGAGGAGCGAAAGUGUGGGGAGCAAACAGG
rnacentral:rRNA from 1 species